rnacentral:rRNA from 1 species
UACGUAGGGGCAAGCGUUAUCCGGAUUUACUGGGCGUAAAGGGAGCGUAGGCGGACUUUUAAGUGGGAUGUGAAAUACCCGGGCUUAACCUGGGAGCUGCAUUCCAAACUGGGAGUCUAGAGUGCAGGAGGGGAAAGUGGAAUUCCUAGUGUAGCGGUGAAAUGCGUAGAGAUUAGGAAGAACACCGGUGGCGAAGGCGACUUUCUGGACUGUAACUGACGCUGAGGCUCGAAAGCGUGGGGAGCGAACAGGAUUAGAUACCCUGGUAGUCCCUGAGCGGGCU